rnacentral:rRNA from 1 species
CACGUAGGGCGCAAGCGUUGUCCGGAAUUAUUGGGCGUAAAGAGCUCGUAGGCGGUUUGUUGCGUCGGCUGUGAAAUCCCGAGGCUCAACCUCGGGUCUGCAGUCGAUACGAGCAAACUAGAGUGUUGCAGGGGAGAGUGGAAUUCCCAGUGUAGAGGUGAAAUUCGUAGAUAUCGGGAAGAACACCCGUGGCGAAGGCGGCUCUCUGGGACGGUACUGACGCUGAGACGCGAAAGCGUGGGGAGCGAACAGG